CGCACUGAAUCCCAGUGCAUGUCACGGCGGAAGGGGCUGAAGAGCGGCCGCUGCAAGAAGGAGCCCCGGGGGACAGCGCUGUCACCACCGCCACCUGGACACGGAGCUGCAAAGAGCUCAGGGCUGGGAGACGCAUGGAGCUGGGAGAGAAGGGAUCGACGCUGUUCGCUGUUCACAUCGCCUUUAAUAUCUGACAAAGAAAUGUUUCCAGUUUCUUCUGGGGACAGAUUUCAGGUUUGGGGUCUGAGAUUUCUGCUCAUACGGACAGGUUCCUGCUUAUGGUCACAGAACGUUGUCUGUGGGGACAGAUGCCUCUUGUUGGCAAGAAAUCCUGUUCUAGAGUGUUGGAAAUAUCCAAAUAAUUGAUCAGGACAGUAUCUCUGAUAAAAGCAGAUUUUAUUUGGAAUUGCAAUGGCGGGCGUCCUGCAAGCAGGGGCGCACCUAUGGACACAGUAUGACAGCUUUUGUACCUUGUUUCCCCCAUGCCUACCCCCUCCCCUCUUUCCCCACUGGCUGCGUACUCCAGGUUCACCAUCAUAUCGAAGUCUUACAUUUGUUAAUUACAUUCUGACACUUGUUAAUUCAUGUGCUAUCUUGUGCCAGUCAGUCGCCAUCCUGCUGUUUCCAAGAUGUCUCGGUACUCUUCUUAUCGGGUCGAUAUGGUGAUUUUCUCCAAAGCUUCUUCCCUCGUGUCCGAAGGACGCUUCCUUUGUUACACGAAGAGCACCGUAGGGAGGUGGAGAGGUGCCAGGCCUUCCUCAAUACCUUCGUCAGGCCCUCCCUAAGGCAUGCCAUGACUUGUCCUUUUAAUUUGUGCAGGAUAUUCUUACAAUGUGUAUGACAAAGUGUAACAUAUCUUUUCAUGCUGGCUGUACAUAAAUUGUUGCUAGCUAGUUUUAAUAAAGGACCCAAAUGGCAGCAGAGGCCACGAAAUCAAGAAAAUUCUUCUCUCGUUCCAAUGCAGAAACAACAUUCGAUUCCCACAUAGAGGGGCGGCACAAUUCUACUUCUGGGCACAGAUUUCACUUUGCAAUCACAGGUUUCAUUUCGAGAGGGCAGAGCAGCGCUGCUGUGACUCCGACACCACCUAACCCACUGUGACUCAUCAUCCUGCCCGCUGUACCUCCAACAUCCUCUGACAUCUCGUGACUCUAUGAGAACACGCCUUCCGCUGCACCUCCAGCAUCACCCCGCCCUGACCCCGACACCGGCCCGUGCAGCCGCUCAGCUCACACACAGAACUCUCGCAUCCUCGUGGAGCGGCCCCGCUGCCUCCUGCUCCGAGCGCGGCCCGAGCACAACUGCAGCUCCCAGAACAGAACAGGCAGAUCUCAGCUCCAAGAUCCAAUACUUCCACACCAUGGCAAAAGGAAACCAACAACCAAAUUCUCCACAAGAGAAAGCAGUGCUGUUCUCCCCAGAAGACGAAAACCAACAAUCCAAACGGGGCUGUAAAUGGAAUGUGGACAGAAGGAAAAGCCACCGCCUGCUCUGUGUGGGUUUGUGUGCAGUGCCAUGGAUCCUUGUCACAGUGCUGCUGGUAGUCCUGAUAGGUGAGUGCCACCUGCAUCCCCACGGCGAUGAAACCUCUACUGUGGGUGUAGGACGGGGGACGAUGGGGUUCCCAGCGCCCUGAGCUGCUCCCCAAGCACAGCCCCGAUCCCAGCUCCUGGGGCGCCCACGCGCUGCCCUAAAC